AAAGAAUCAUAUGACAAUGAAGACUAAAUAAUGACUUAUGAAAAAUCAGAAUUUUAAAAUAGAAUACAGUUAUUUUAGUAUUUCACAAUAUUACUGAUUUUAACUCAUUUUGAUCAAAUAAACGCAGUCUUGCUUAGCAUUAUAGACAGCUUCCAAAAACAUUGAAAAUUCUUUUUCACUCCAAAACUUCUGAACUAAGUGUACGGUUUAUGUAUUAAUUGAGAUUAUAUAAGCUCAUAUGUCGGUUUAACAACAAAGCCAUUAGCAGUGACUUUAAUUUAGACAUGAUAAAUACAAAAGGCAGGCAUAAGAAAACUGGAAUGUUGAUUAACCUGAGAGUCACAUACAAUAGCUAGAGAUAAAAAUCCUUGAUCACUCACACAAUCUUACUUGAGAAAUUCUGUGCAAAGUGCAAAGAUUUCAAGGUAAAUGGAUAAGUUUAACCCACCGGGGGGGGGUUGCGGCAAUCUUGUGUCAGGGUUUCCCAGAGAAUGCUCUGGUCUAGCCACAUCACACACAGAGGGCAGGAAGUAGCAAAGAUGAGGUCAGUAUUUAGCACACAGUUAGAUUGAGCCACACCGUGAGUCCACACAUACAGUGGAUGUCGAAAGAGCGCUCUCAUAACUCCUGUUUUUCUCUCACUCAGAUCUGACACAGAAUCUGAGGGGAAAACCAACAACAACAUAAAAAAACUGGUCAUGAUUUACUCCCUCUCAUGUCAUUUCAAACCCACACGACAUUCUUUCGUAAACAAAAGGUACAAUAUCCUGGCUCAGCUUUCAACAUAAUUAAAGUGAAUGAGAACUAGGGCUGUCAAGUUUCAAAAGCAAUGCAGAAUCACCAUUUAGCCUAAGUAUCAUAAAAGUAGUUCCCAGGACUUAUAUUUCAAGUCUUCUGAAGCCUUAUAACAGUUUUUUUGUCAUUCAUUGCUAUUCUUCCAUUCCACUGAUCUGUUAACUUUUCUAUCUGAUUUGUGAGUGAUUUUUCCAGAGAAGCUAAAAAUGGAUCAUCUGAUUUAUUUUAUUUCCAUUCUUCAAAAAUUCAAAACCUUUUACUUUAGACAAAAGAAAGGCAGUCACGCAAGUUUUAAAUGUCAUUUACACUUUUUGGGUGAACUGUCCCUUUAAGAAGACAAUAUUAAUUUACUCCAUGACUCAAAGCAACAGAAUUCACUUCCUAUCAAGUCAUCAAACCCGAACAGCCCGAACAGUGAAAUGUCUUGCAAAAUCUCCCAGGAUCCUUUGCUAAUAUAAACUGGCAUGUAUUCUGCCUGGGCCCUUUUGCUUACUGAGAGUUAGGAGGAAAACAACGCCCAAGACGCCACCCUCUCCACUGAUCCAGUGGCUUAUCCUCUCUGACAUCUGUAGUUGGCUAAACUGUUUCUGAGGACAGCACUUCAGAAGUCUCACUUCAAAAAGAAGAUGAACAAUUACUAAUCAUAGAAACUGGAUCAGAAGUUCAUCAAGUCAGAAAAAGCCUUCAGAGUUAAAAGGUUUACUCGUGUCGGAAAAAAGACUGAAAACGAGCAUCAGUACCUUGAAAACCUCUUUGACAGCAGUCAUCAGCUCCGGUCCAACUCCAUCUCCAGGGAGCAUGGUGACCUUGAAGGUGCUGUCAGCCCGUGCCGGGGGACUCUCCGAAACAUUCUGACUGGAGGUCACACUCAAAGAGCGGACACACAACGGCUGCAACCGGACA